rnacentral:sRNA from 1 species
GUAUGUGUGCAUGUGUUUGUAUGUGUGUGUGUAUGUAUGAGCUUGUUGUAUUCAUAUACAGGCGCACUAGCCUAUUCAUGCCCAUGGUAGAGACUAAAAGGUGUCUUCCUCUACCCCUUUCCACCUUAUCUUUUUCACAAGGUCUUUUGCUAAACUAGAGCUCACAGUGUUAGACACACUGACCAGUCUCUCUCCAGAGCCCACUGUGCUUCGAUGAAUGUGCUGCCAUCUCCAGCUUUCAUCCGGUUCUCUCCAGGGCCUCAUUAGCAUUCUCGUCAUCUGCCAAAGUCGGCUCUUCCUUGGCAAGAACAAAGCAGAACCUUCAUCUUAUCUGCAGGAGAACACCAGGGUUCAGUUUCCUCUGUUCACUUGAUGCUGAGAAGAGCCUCAGUCCAGGGCACUGUGCCAGCUUGUGCUAAAAACCAGCCUAGGAGCUUCGAGCAGCAACCUGAGCGGCCUGUGGAGCCAGGCUGCAUUCCCAGCUGCAAACAGCCCUGCAAAAUGACUCCGAGGAGGAGGUUGGAGAAAGGAGUGCACCGUGACCAGAUUAGCAACUGUGGGUAUUCACCUGAGCAAAAGGGCUGUGGUAAGCAGAGCAUCCUGAAGUAGAGACAUGUAUGCCUCACCUUGAGCCAGCUGAGAAGCAGAGAAGGGAAAACAGGAAGGGACCAGGCCAAGAUGUAAGGCCACGCCCCCACGGGCCUGCUUCCUCUUAUCAGCCCUCACUUCCUGCCUUUUGCGGUCACCGAAUACUGCUGCCACAUUGUGACUCCAUAAGGAGUGAAAUAGCGUCUCGUCUCGGCCUUUUAGCUAAGAUCAUGUGUAACAUCAGGAGUGAAUCCAUUGAUUGGGUCAGGAUCCCCAGGAUCCGGUCACUUCCCCAAAGUCCCUAGUCAUUUUUCUAUUGCUGUAAUAAAACGCCCUAACCAAAGAAGACGUUUAAUUUUUCUUAGUUCCAGAGAAUGAGAGAGGCUACAGUGAGGGAGCAGAAGAGCUGAGAAUUCAAAUCUCGAUCCACAAGCAGGAGGCAGAAAGUGCACUGGAGCGUCAAAGCCCUCGGCAGCAGCACUUUCCCAACAAACCCGUACC